UACAGAGGUCUCAAGCGUUGUUCGGAUUCAUUGGGCGUAAAGGGCGCGUAGGCUGCGGGGGUAAGUCGGGUGUGAAAUCUCAGAGCUCAACUCUGAAAUUGCACUUGAUACUGCUCUGCUAGAGGACUGGAGAGGAGAUUGGAAUUCACGGUGUAGCAGUGAAAUGCGUAGAUAUCGUGAGGAAGACCAGUGGCGAAGGCGGCAUCCUGGACCGACACUGACACUGAGGCGCGAAAGCGUGGGGAGCAAACAGG
rnacentral:rRNA from 1 species